UACGAAGGGGGCUAGCGUUGUUCGGAAUUACUGGGCGUAAAGCGCACGUAGGCAGAUAUUUAAGUCAGGGGUGAAAUCCCGGGGCUCAACCCCGGAACUGCCUUUGAUACUGGGUAUCUCGAGUCCGAGAGAGGUGAGUGGAAUUCCGAGUGUAGAGGUGAAAUUCGUAGAUAUUCGGAGGAACACCAGUGGCGAAGGCGGCUCACUGGCUCGGUACUGACGCUGAGGUGCGAAAGCGUGGGGAGCAAACAGGG
rnacentral:rRNA from 1 species